UACGUAGGGGGCAAGCGUUAUCCGGAUUUACUGGGUGUAAAGGGAGCGUAGACGGUUAUGCAAGUCAGAAGUGAAAGCCCAAAGCUCAACUUCGGGGCUGCUUUUGAAACUGUGUAACUAGAGUGCAGGAGGGGUAAGCGGAAUUCCUAGUGUAGCGGUGAAAUGCGUAGAUAUUAGGAGGAACACCGGCGGCGAAGGCGGCUUACUGGACUGUAACUGACGUUGAGGCUCGAAAGCGUGGGGAGCAAACAGG
rnacentral:rRNA from 1 species